AUACGGAGGAUGCAAGCGUUAUCCGGAUUUAUUGGGUUUAAAGGGUGCGUAGGCGGAUGAUUAAGCGUGAGGUGAAAUGCCACUGCUCAACAGUGGAACUGCCUCGCGAACUGGUUGUCUUGAAUGCUCCUGCCGUGGGAGGAAUGUGUGGUGUAGCGGUGAAAUGCAUAGAGAUCACACAGAACACCGAUUGCGAAGGCAUCUCACGAAGGGGUGAUUGACGCUGAGGCACGAAAGCGUGGGGAUCAAACAGGAUUAGAUACCCUGGUAGUCCAGGCAGUAAACGAUGAUAACUAACCGCUGGGUCGUAGUGAUUCAGUGGCCAAGCGAAAGCGAUAAGUUAUCCACCUGGGGAGUACGACCGCAAGGUUGAAACUCAAAGGAAUUGACGGGG
rnacentral:rRNA from 1 species